CCAGAGAACUUAGCAGAGAUGCUUUGGUGCCUUCGGGAACUCUGAGACAGGUGCUGCAUGGCUGUCGUCAGCUCGUGUUGUGAAAUGUUGGGUUAAGUCCCGCAACGAGCGCAACCCUUAUCCUUUGUUGCCAGCGGUCCGGCCGGGAACUCAAAGGAGACUGCCAGUGAUAAACUGGAGGAAGGUGGGGAUGACGUCAAGUCAUCAUGGCCCUUACGAGUAGGGCUACACACGUGCUACAAUGGCGCAUACAAAGAGAAGCGACCUCGCGAGAGCAGGCGGACCUCAUAAAGUGCGUCGUAGUCCGGAUUGGAGUCUGCAACUCGACUCCAUGAAGUCGGAAUCGCUAGUAAUCGUAGAUCAGAAUGCUACGGUGAAUACGUUCCCGGGCCUUGUACACACCGCCCGUCACACCAUGGGAGUGGGUUGCAAAAGAAGUAGGUAGCUUAACCUUCGGGAGGGCGCUUACCACUUUGUGAUUCAUGACUGGGGUGAAGUCGUAACAAGGUAAGCGUACGUGU
rnacentral:rRNA from 1 species